CAAAGUUAAAGAUGCUGUGCAGGCAGUAAAGAGGGAUAUAUUGAACACAGUUGCUGAUCGUUGUGAAAUGCUAUUUGAGGAUCUGCUUUUGAAUGAAAUUCCAGAAAAAAAAGAUUCUGAAAAAGAGUUCCACGUCCUCCCUUAUCGAGUCUUUGUUCCCCUUCCUGGAUCCACUGUAAUGUUGUGUGAUUAUAAAUUUGACGAUGAGUCAGCUGAAGAAAUCAGGGACCAUUUUAUGGAGAUGUUGGAUCACACAAUUCAAAUAGAAGAUUUGGAAAUUGCAGAGGAAACAAACACAGUCUAGUAUAGAGAUGGAUUAACAGUAGGAAGAGUUUAAUAUUACAAGAACAAAGGAAGCAAAACAGCAAUUUGGAAAGUUUAGCUUGUAUGAGUUCUUCUAUGAAUAGUCAAGCUUCAUUGGACAACACAGAUGAUGAACAACCAAAACAACCAAUUAAAACUACAAUGUUAUUGAAAAUUCAGCAAAACAUAGGUGUGAUUGCAGCAUUUACAGUUGCAGUCCUUGCUGCGGGUAUCUCCUUUCAUUACUUCAGUGAUUAGGGUGAGGCACAAAGAGUUUCUUGAUCAUCCAGAGAACAUUGACAGACAAUUAUGAAUAAUAAAGAUGUUAACAAUCCAUCUGUAUUUAAAACACUAGCAGCCAGAUCUGCUGCCAUGAUGCCUAUUUGGUGUGUUUCUGAUUAAAAUGAAAUCACAAGCUGCCUUGUUUAGCCUGCUUUACAUUGUAGGUGGCCCGCAUUUCCAGAAAUAACGUUAUGCAUCUAGAUGGAAGCUGCAUGUAACAAAUCAUUAUUAUCUAUUUUUAAAAGCUUCAAAAUGAUGGGAUAUGAUCAUAGAUUUUAGUCUUACUAAUCUGAAUCACAUAUUAAUCAGGACAUUAAAAACUUUAACAGAGGCAUGAUGGCUCACACGUAUAAUCCUAAUGCUUUGAGAGGCUGAGGUAGGAGCAUCACCUGGGGCUGGGAGGGAGUUGGAGACCAGCCUGGAUGACAUAAUGAGAUUCUGUCUCUACUGGAAAAAAAAAAAAUUAGCUGGACAUGGUGGCAAUCAGCUCUAGUCCCAACUACUUGGAGGCUGAAGCAGGAAGAUCACGUGAGCCCAGGAGUUUGAGGCUGCAGCGAGCUAUGAUCACAUCACUGUACUCCAGCCUGGGUGACAAAAUGAGACAUUGUCUCUAAAAUACAUAAGUAAAUUUAAAAAAAAAAGAAUAAUAAUUUGAACAGUGAAUGUUGAUGUAACAUCUUAAUAAUAGAGCACCAGAAAAAUUUCUACCAAAUGAGACAACAACUUUAGGAUAAGUUCAUCCUCUAGGAGCUUUCUAAUGUGCACUCAGUUCCUGUAUACUGUGUGUUUUGUUCUGAUCAAGGGGUAGGGAACCUUUCCAGAGAAGUCCCAUUAGUAAGAAAUGACAUAAAAUACGUGCUUUCUCAGGUUACUGUAUAACUGUUAUAAUAUAUUUAAUAUAUAAAAUUAAGACUUUUGCUUCCAGCAAGUAUGUUAGACUAGAUAUUAUAAAACAACUAGAUCCUGAAUAAAAUCUGCUUUUAAUAGGUUCACUGGAAGUAGGAGAAUUUUCAAGAACCAUACUUCGACAUUUCCUCUGCCACAAAAAAUGAACGCAUUUUAAGUUAGGAGUCAUGAAUACUGUAUUGACCAUACAAGUGGAUUAUGGUUGUCUGGAUGGCAGAUACCAAUAGCAACAUUGUCAUAUGCAGUUUGCCUCAAAUCAGAAACAAGAAGACAUCGGAAUCUGAGAUGCUGCCCUAGAGAGGACAGUUAAAGAAGGUUCAGUGGUCCUCAGUUUGCAGUGCUCUAGCUCCUGGCAGAAGCAAGAGGGAAACAUUCCUAAUUUAGUUCCAAGAUUCCUACAGAUUAUUAUCAAGUAGUAGUAUUUUAUGACUAGAGAUCACAGGCACAAGUUGAAACAAACUAACAUGACAAGAAAGCUAUAGAAAAAAUAAACAUUGAACUCAGUUCUUCAAGGUUUCAUCACCAACAUAAGGAAUGAAGUUGGAACCACAGGCAGAUCUGAAAAAGAACCAAAUAGAGCUCCUAAAAAUGAGAAAUAUUUAUUGAAAUAAGAAAAAAGCCCUCAGACAUGUUGAAUAUUUUAUUAGACUCAGCUGAAGAGACAAGUGAACUAAACUAUAAGCUGGAUCUAAAGAAAUUACCCAGUGAGCAGUGAGGAGAAACAAGGAGCUAGAAAACAUUGGAAAGUUAAGAGAGUUCGAGGGAAGAAUUAUAAAGACUAGGAGUCCUAGAAAGAGAAAAUUUAGAGAAUAAAGGAGAGGCAGUACUUGAAAGAUAACACAAUUUUACAAAUUUGUUGGAAAAACAUGAAUUCAUAAAUUCAGGAAGCACAAUAUAUACCAAACAUAUAUUUAAAUAAAAUCCAGGCCUAGACUCAAGGUAUUGUAAAUGACAAGAUACCAAAUACAAGAUUUUAAAAGCAACCAUGGGGAGAAAAAGAUCAGUGAAAGCAAGACAGUCAAAUACUUAGUAGGCUUCCUAACAGCAACAAUGUACCCAAAAGAGGGUAGAAUUCUGAGAAAAACUAUUAGCUUAGAAUUUGCAACAAGCGAAACUGAAACAAACAGAUGCUCAGAUGAAAAACAGAUGUUAUCCUCAGCACAAAUUCAGUAAAGAGACUACAAAAGGAUGAUCUUCAAGAAGGGAAAUGAUUCUAAAAGGAUUAUCUGAAAUUGAAAAACUAGUAAGCAAAUAAAUGAUAAACAUAAGUAAAUUUAAACUGUUGUUUGUAUAAAACAAUUAUAAUGAAGUGUUUAUAAGAAAUUGUAAACAAAUGUAAAACUAAAUAAACAUUGUUAUGCAACAUUAA
rnacentral:lncRNA from 1 species